rnacentral:rRNA from 1 species
UACGUAGGGUGCAAGCGUUAAUCGGAAUUACUGGGCGUAAAGGGUGCGUAGGUGGCUUGGUAAGUCGGAUGUGAAAUCCCGGGGCUCAACCCCGGAACUGCAUUCGAUACUGCUUUAGCUUGAGUCCUGGAGAGGAGAUCGGAAUUUACGGUGUAGCAGUGAAAUGCGUAGAUAUCGUAAGGAAGACCGGUGGCGAAGGCGGAUCUCUGGACAGGAACUGACACUGAGGCACGAAGGCCAGGGGAGCAAACGGG